UACGUAGGGGGCAAGCGUUGUCCGGAUUUAUUGGGCGUAAAGAGCGUGUAGGCGGUUUGGUAGGUCCGUUGCGAAAACUCGAGGCUCAACCUCGAGACGCCGAUGGAAACCAUCAGACUAGAGUCCGGAAGAGGAGAGUGGAAUUCCCGGUGUAGCGGUGAAAUGCGUAGAGAUCGGGAGGAACACCAGUGGCGAAGGCGGCCAUCUGGAUCAACACUGACGCUGAGGCACGAAAGCGUGGGGAGCAAACAGG
rnacentral:rRNA from 1 species